rnacentral:rRNA from 1 species
UGCCGGUGACAAACCGGAGGAAGGUGGGGAUGACGUCAAAUCAUCAUGCCCCUUAUGACCUGGGCUACACACGUGCUACAAUGGACGGUACAACGAGUCGCGAAACCGCGAGGUCAAGCUAAUCUCUUAAAGCCGUUCUCAGUUCGGAUUGCAGGCUGCAACUCGCCUGCAUGAAGUUGGAAUCGCUAGUAAUCGUGGAUCAGCAUGCCACGGUGAAUACGUU